rnacentral:rRNA from 1 species
AACAAACGCUGGCGGCGUGCCUAAUACAUGCAAGUCGAACGGGGAAAGCUUUCGGGUGAGUACUAGUGGCGCACGGGUGAGUAACGCGUGGAUAAUCUGCCUUAGAGUGGGGGAUAACUAGUCGAAAGAUUAGCUAAUACCGCAUAAGACCACAAGAACUGCGGUUCAAGGGGUCAAAGGUUUUUCGCUCUAAGAUGAGUCCGCGUAAGAUUAGCUAGUUGGUAGGGUAACGGCCUACCAAGGCGACGAUCUUUAACUGGUCUGAGAGGAUGAUCAGUCACACUGGAACUGAGACACGGUCCAGACUCCUACGGGAGGCAGCAGUAGGGAAUAUUGCACAAUGGAGGAAACUCUGAUGCAGCGACGCCGCGUGAGUGAUGAAGGCCUUCGGGUCGUAAAGCUCUGUCGCAGGGGAAUAACACAAUGAAGGUACCCUGUAAGAAAGGAUCGGCUAACUUCGUGCCAGCAGCCGCGGUAAUAC